UAUAUAUAUAUAUAUAUAUAUAUAUAAUUAUUAUAUUUAUAGAGGUAAGAAACAUAUAAGAAAUAAUUAAUAUAUAAUGUAUAUAUAUUUCUUUUGUUGCACGUUUUUAUAUCCAUUAUAUUAUAUAUAUGGUUUAUUAAAUAUUUUUGUUAUUUUUAUACUUUAUUUUUGAGGAAUACAUAUGUAUUCUUAUUAUGUACAAAAUUUUACUUAUGUAAAAUUUAAUUUUUAUGUUAUUACAUAUAUGUGUUUUUAAUUUUUUAAUUUUUUUGUAGAUAAAUGUAUGUAUAUAUAUAUAUAUAUAUAUAUAUAUAUGUGGGCAUAAAAUUUAUAUAUAUUAUUAUGAUAUAUGACGCUAUCAGUUUUUGGUGCAUAUAUCUUAGCAUGGCCAUCCUUUAAAAGUUUUUUGUAUUAGAAAACAUGUAUGAAAAAAUAAAAGUUUUGAAAAAAAAAAUACAAUUUUAAAAUAAACAAACAUGAUUGGUACUGUGGAACGUCUCAUGAAAAAAGAGAAGAAAUAUCACGAAUAAAUUCAAUUAGUGUUUUUCGAUGAAGUAUUAUAAUAUAUAAGAAAAAAAAAAAAAAAAUAUAUGUUCAAAUUUUAUUUUCUUUUUUAAUUUUUUAAUAUUUAUAAUUAAUUCACUCUUUUGUUCAUAAAAUUUCCCUUUUUCAUUAAAAAUUUCUGUUCUUUUGGAUUGUUCGAUAAGAAAGAAAAUGUUUAUGAAAUAAAUAAAUCAACAUAAUAAUAUAUUAUAUUGCAGAAUAAAUUAUAUAAAAGUUGAGUAUGGAGAGAUAUAUAGUAUAUUCCAAAUAUAUAUAUAGUCAAAGGUUUUUAUCCAUAAAAAAUAAAACAUAUUUGUUUUAUUUAAUAAAUCAACGUUUUUUAUACAUAUAAAUGUUAAACAUAUAAUGGAUAUUCCAUUUAAUAUUAAUCCCCCUUCCCUCUUUUAUUCUGCGUAAUAAAUGUAACAAAGAAGUCUUGAUGAUUACUAAUAAUUGUAUAGAAAAAAUAUUUAUGAAUAUAUAUAUAUAUAUAUAUAUAUAUUUGUUUAUGUGUGUAAGAUGAGGCGUUUGUAUAAUAAUUUUUUUUGUAUAAACAUUUUUACCAUAUAAAUAUAUAUAUCUAUAUAUAUAUAUAUAUAUAUUUGUUUAUGUGUGUAAGAUGAGGCGUUUGUAUAAUAAUUUUUUUUGUAUAAACAUUUUUACCAUAUAAAUAUAUAUAUAUAUAUAUAUAUAUAUAUUUAUAUAUAUUUUUUUUGUCUUUAUAGUAAUUAAAUGUAUUACACAAUUAUAUAAUAUUUAGUUAUAAAGUAUAUAUUGUGUAUACAUCAUAAGAUAGAGUUAUAUAUAUAUAUAUAUAUAUAUAUAUAUAUAUAUAUAUAUAUAUAUAAUAUAUAUAUAUUAUGUAAGGAUAAAAGUGGAGGAAAUGUUAUUACGUGUGUAUAUAAUAAAUAUUGUGUGUAAUACAUGAUAGUUAAGGUAUGUGUAGCCCCUUAUAAUUAAAAGCCUUGUAAAGGUUUAAGCGCCUUUAAAGGUGGGGAAGUAAAUAUAUUUUAAUUGUUCGGUUUAAUUUUACUGUUCAAGAGGAUGAAUAUAUAAAAAUCUUUUGUUUCGUGAGAAAUAUUAGGUUGAGCUUAUCUCUUAUUAAUUAUCAUAUGAUAAAUAUAGACUAUUUUCUUUUAUGAACUAGUUUAUAUUUAGUAUGUGAUAAUUAUUAUGAAAAUGGUCGUAUGUUUGGUUAAAAACCUUUGAAGUGUGUGACGAGCCUUUAAAGGUAGAGGUGUAAAUAACAUAUUUUGAUCUCUUCCUGUAUUGAUCAUAAUUUCCUCCUUAUAUUUCUUAAGAAUAUUUUGUAGGUAACUUCUUAAUUAAUCAAUAUAUAAAUGUAUAUAUAUGAUGUAGUUAUAUGUUUAUAGCAUGUGGUUUAUAUACUAUUAUAGAGGUGAUUGAAAAAGUACGUUAUACUUAGAGGGGAUCUAGGUAAAAAAAUAGAAACGGAUAUAAUUAUUUUAAUAAUUAUUGAAAUCCUUAUACAGGCUUGGACGUGCCUAUAAAGGUGGGGUGCAUACAUAUAUUUAUAUAAAGGAUAUAAAUAUAUCUAGUUUGUUAAAAAAAAUAAAUAAUAUAAAAUUUGUUUUUUUUUAUUUAAUAAAUCUAGGAUGUACUUUAAGGUUGAUUUAUGAUCUUUACAAAUAUACAUAUAUAUAUAUAUAUGUAUUAUAAUGUGGUGUAAACUUAUCAUUAUGAUAUUUUAUGUAUAUUGUUAUUAUAGGGUGAUUUCCUAUCAUAUAUAAAGAACAUAUAUCAACUGUAUAAGAUAUAACGUUCUCCCUUUGACUAUAAAAAGCCUCGAGGGUAUAACGCGCCAAGAGGGGUGGAGGAUAACUAAAUUUGAGUUUUUAUUAUGAAGGAAAAUAAACGUUUCUCAUAUAAAAGCACACAUAUAUAUAUGUAUAUAGAUAGUGGUCUUUUUAUCAAAUUGUUAUGUUAUUCUUCGAGUCGUUUGCGAAUAUAAAUAGUUUAUUUGUAUUUUUUUUUUUUUUUUUUUUUUUUUUUCUUAUAUACGAAUAUUGAAGACAUUAAAAUGUAUUAUAUUUUUAGUACAUUUUUAUGUGAAAUUGCAAUUAGUAGUAUUGAGGAAAAAGAAAAAAAAAAGAAGGGAAAUCCAAAUAAAAUAUAUAUUAGUAGUAUUCAACAGGAAGUCGGUAUGUUCAAUAAAUAAAUUCUUUUUGAGGUUUA
rnacentral:sRNA from 1 species